CACGUAGGGGCCAAGCGUUGUCCGGAUUUAUUGGGCGUAAAGAGCGUGUAGGCGGCCAGACAGGUCCGUUGUGAAAACUCGAGGCUCAACCUCGAGACGCCGAUGGAAACCGUCUGGCUAGAGUCCGGAAGAGGAGAGUGGAAUUCCUGGUGUAGCGGUGAAAUGCGCAGAUAUCAGGAAGAACACCCGUGGCUAAGGCGGCUCUCUAGUACGGUACUGACGCUGAGACGCGAAAAGCGUGGGGGAGCGAACAGG
rnacentral:rRNA from 1 species